rnacentral:rRNA from 1 species
GAAGGGGGCUAGCGUUGUUCGGAAUUACUGGGGCGUAAAGCGCGCGUAGGCGGAUUGUUAAGUCAGGGGUGAAAUCCCGAGGCUCAACCUCGGGAACUGCCUUUGAUACUGGCAAUCUGGAGAUCGAGAGAGGUAAGUGGAAUUCCGAGUGUAGAGGUGAAAUUCGUAGAUAUUCGGAGGAACACCAGAGGCGAAGGCGGCUUACUGGCUCGAUACUGACGCUGAGGCGCGAAAGCGUGGGGAGCAAACAGGAUUAGAUACCCUGGUAGUCCACGCCGUAAACGAUGGAUGCUAGCCGUUGGACAGCAUGCUGUUCAGUGGCGCAGCUAACGCAUUAAGCAUCCCGCCUGGGGAGUACGGUCGCAAGAUUA